AACCAAUGACAGAAGUGGAGUUGAUGAAUGCGGAUGUCGUCCUCGGCGCAGUGACACUGAUAAGGAACUGGAGUCUCGGGAUGUGCUCGUUUUAAGUCAGACGAGCUUUUGCAAAAUUCACCCCACGGACGACGAUUUCAUCUCUACACUGACGUGAAGAAUUUCACGAGUGGAGAACGCCUUCCUCCCAAAAACACUGAGAGAAGAAUUCUGCCUGCAGGAAAAUGGGAAGUACAGUGAUGGACUCCAAGAAAAAGGACAGUGCAAAGAAAUCCUCAAAGAAAAAGCGAUCUCUGCGCCUAAACAUGCCAGAUUUGAGCACAUUCACAUCCUCUCUUAUGGAUGGAGAGACCGACAGAACAGAUAAAGAUGAAAUGCACAAGGGUGACGGUAGUGAGUCAGCUAGCACUCCUGCCAGUCAGCCCUGUACCCCAUCUUCAGCCCCCGUAUGUCCCAGGACCAGUCCAGGCACUCCUAAAAGCAUCUUCCCACAUCCACUAUCAUCCCACCAGGACUCACCUCCCAAAUCUCCCCGCCGUCUCAGUUUCAGUGGUAUCUUCCGCUCCUCGCCCAGCUCAGCGCCUGCCCGGAUCUUCUCCAAAUCUAGAAAAGGCUCUGGGCUUUCGACUCCCCCCACCACCCCGACUCAGAGUCCCGCUCCACCAGUCUUCUCUAUGGAGAGCCCUAGUCCUGUGGAGCGGGUGGAGGAACGCCGAUCCCGCUCUCUCUCAUCUCCACCAGACACAGGACAGCGCUUCAGCCUGAGCACCUCCACCAACAAACCCCCGAUCGCCUCGUACACCUUUUACUCUACCUCACGCCAGAGCUGCGUACUUGCUGAAGGCAUGCUGGAAAAACUUGAACUUGAUAAUGAAGCUGCUGAAGAGCCAGACAAUGACAUUUACAUGCGCUUUAUGAAAUCCCACAAGUGCUAUGACCUCAUCCCCACCAGCUCCAAACUAGUGGUCUUUGACACUUCAUUACAGGUAAAGAAAGCUUUCUUUGCCUUGGUUGCUAAUGGAGUUCGAGCUGCACCAUUGUGGGAAACCAAAAAGCAAAGCUUUGUGGGAAUGUUAACCAUCACAGACUUCAUCAUCAUACUGCACAGAUACUACAAAUCACCACUGGUGCAAAUAUAUGAACUGGAGGAGCAUAAAAUUGAGACUUGGAGAGAACUGUACUUGCAAGAAACUUUUAAACCCUUAGUCAACAUAUCUCCAGAUGCAAGUAUAUUUGAUGCCGUAUACUCGCUCAUCAAAAAUAAGAUCCAUCGUUUGCCAGUGAUCGAUCCAGUCACAGGAAACGCUCUGUAUAUCCUCACACACAAGAGGAUCCUCAAGUUUCUGCAGCUCUUUGUGUGUGAGAUGCCUAAACCAGCCUUCAUGAGGCAGACUCUGGAGGAGCUGGGCAUUGGCACAUACAGCAACAUCGCUUUCAUUCACCCAGAUACACCCAUUAUUAAAGCCCUGGGCAUGUUUGUGGAGAGGAGAGUGUCUGCCCUGCCGGUGGUGGACGUUACAGGAAAGGUUGUGGACAUAUACUCCAAAUUUGAUGUCAUUAACCUGGCUGCUGAGAAGACCUACAAUAACCUGGACAUCACUGUGACUCAGGCGCUGCUGCAUCGUUCACAAUACUUCGAGGGAGUCAUGAAGUGUUAUCGACACGAGACCGUGGAGACUAUAGUGGACAGGAUCGUCAAAGCUGAGGUGCACAGGCUGGUAGUGGUGGAUGAUAACUCCAGCAUCGAGGGCAUCAUCUCUCUCUCAGACAUCCUGCAGGCGCUGGUUCUCACCCCCGCAGGUAUAGACGCACAGAAUUCCUAAAUCAUCCCUCCAUUUCACUUUCCUUCUCUCUUCUCCACUCUUCCCCGGACCCAAUCUCCUCUCCCUGGACAUCUAUCACUCAAGUGUCCCUCUCUGACCCCCUGAGCACAGGAGGACGCAGAAGGGACAGUGUGACUGAAUGACAAAACAGCAUUUUGGAGGUGAAAGAGAAAUGCAAGAAAUUCAAACCAAAAAGGUCCAGCCAGCUUUACUGACGGGAUACAGAGAAGAGGACAGCUGGAAACUUUAAGAUCCUCAUUUAAUGGCCGGGCUGAAUGAAACCCUUUGAAUCUGCAGCUGAAGGAACAGACACACAAUUGUUGGACAUGUUUAUGGCGGUCCGAUCAUGAGAAUCUGCCGCUAUACUGUACACUGCUUUAGAUGCUGGGCAUGUUUGGCUGCUGGUUUUAGAGCUGUUCACUGACAGCACUAAAUCAGACAUGUCUUCUAGCUGGGUCUGCGUUAUGUCAUCAGGCGAUGUAGUGUCUGAAGUGGAAAUUUGCCUUAAAUGAAGACCUCGGAGAGAGCUGACUGUAAAGGUUUGCAGAGCCCCGUAGAUGUGCAUGUAGUGCAAAAGCAGGUUCUUGAUUCUUUGGCAAUAAGUUGCUGUUGGUUCAAAGACCUGCUAGACUCUGUAGACAUCGAGCCAUGUUUUUCUCUGCAAUUCUCUUGAAAAUACUUUCAGGUUGCAUUACAUCCAAAAAUGAAAAGUAGAAAAUCUUAACUGAAAAUUAAGCAUAUGUGCAUAAUGUGACAUAAUUUUUUUGACAGGUAAGCAUAUUUCCCUCCAGGUUUUAUUAUUGUAAUACAAAAAGCGUUUAUAUGUUAUGCAAAUAAUAAAAUGUGUUUGUAGUAUUUAUUCAAUCACCUGCAAUUUAUGCAGAAUUUAAAGAAAAAGAAUGGUUACUUUUUUAAAUAAUGAGAAACCAAUAAGAAUACAUUACAUUAAUAGUUUAAUAUUACAUAGUUCUCAUGAAAAAAACAUAGAAGUGGAUCUCAGUUGGUCAUUGUUAAAAAAAAACUGUACCGUUCUUUUUUUAUAUAUAUAUAGAACUAAUACUGUAAUAAAUGCAUGUUAAAGAAAAAAUAAGGGAAUGAGAUGCUUUGUAUAAAAAUAAUUAUAAUUGCAGGGAAAUAUGUUUCCCAUGAAAAUAAUGUUACAAUCAAAAAAAAUUAUGGUCCUAAAAACAUCUAUGGCUUUUUUGUUUCUUUCAGUUUCUGUGUGAUAUAUGAUAUGACCCAGACACAUUCUUGACAAGUUUAAUGAGAUUCAUCCGAAUAUUAUUGUUUUUUCCUGUUAGUCCAAAAUGUCUGCUGAACAUAAAUUGUAUUCUCAUCCUAUUAGUUUUCAGUGGAAAAAUGAAUGUACUACCACACUGCAUACGCACUGACUGUCAUGGACUGUAAUUUUACUGGAACAAAGAAUAUGUUGUGGAAAGUGACUAUAUUUUUCUAUCAUGACUGUCUGUUGUGUUUUCCUGGUGUGGAAAUCGGUCUUAUGCACUAAAAGAGCAUGAAUGUCAAAGCUUGCAGUUGCAAAAAUGGCUAUGCACCUUUGCACCACAGUGAUAUGCUGAGCUACUGUAAAUACAACAACAUGCCAUGUAAUGGGUUCAAAACUGAUACAUUAUGUAUUGUUUGAUUGCAUUUUUUUCAUUAUUGUGUACUGUCAGUGAAAGUUAAGACCGUUAAGUCCAGAGAGAUUGAAAUGUACAUUUUUGUACACAGAAAUGACACUAUAUUUUAUUUUUUAAGUGGUUGUGCUAAAAUAUAUUGAUAAUGCAUUAA